AACGAACGCUGGCGGCAUGCCUAACACAUGCAAGUCGAACGAGACCUUCGGGUCUAGUGGCGCACGGGUGCGUAACGCGUGGGAACCUGCCUUUAGGUUCGGAAUAACUCCCCGAAAGGGGUGCUAAUACCGGAUAAUGUCUUCGGACCAAAGAUUUAUCGCCUUUAGAUGGGCCCGCGUAGGAUUAGCUAGUUGGUGGG
rnacentral:rRNA from 1 species